CUGUCUUCUAUAGUAGUGCUUCUGAAACAUGACUGUGCAAAGGAGUCACAUGGGUGAUGUUAAAAUGCAAGUUCUGAUUUCAUUGGAUUUGGGAUGGGGCCCGAGGUGCCGUUUAUUAUUUUAUUUUAUUUUUUUUAAGACAGAGUUUUGCUCUUGUCACCCCGGCUGGAGUACAAUGGCACAAUCUAAGCUCACUGCAACCUCCGCCUCCCAGGUUCAAGCAAUUCUGCCUCACCCUCCCGAGUAGCUGGGAUUACAGGCACCUGCCACCAUGCCUGGCUAAUUUUUGUAUUUUUAGUAGAGAUGGGGUUUCACCAUGUUGGCCAGGCUGGUCUGACGCUCCUGACUUCAAGUGAUCCGGCCUCCCAAAGUGCUGGGAUUACACGCGUGAGGCCAGAAAUUUUAACUCUAAAACGGUAUCACUUCCCAUCUGGAAUUCUGGGCACUGAGGGGAUAGUGAUAGAAAUGGCUUAUCUUUUAAAGGUUUAGAUUCUGAUCCUCCACUUACUAUUCUGUGGCUCAGUUUCAUUAGAUU
rnacentral:sRNA from 1 species